GUUUCCGGUUUCCGGCUCAGCGUCCAAUCGCCAGCCCGCCCCAGGCUUUCCGCUUCCGGCAGCACAGGCCUGUGGGACUUGAACCUGUUGUGAAGCCGGUUAGUCCUGGGCCGGCGGGUUCCCUCAAGGUGGCUAUGAUUGUGUCUCUAGUCCCCGCCUGUCCUGCAGUCUGUCUGCAGGUCCGCAGCAGAAACGCGCAGCUUGAGUCAGUCGCGGAGCACCCACUUCCAGUGUCUCGGAUCGCAGAGUGGGAUACAAGACGCCGCCACCUUUCUUUCCGUGGGAACCUUGGGAAGUUAGCAGAGGGCCUUCAGGAGUUGGCUCUCUCUUCUGACUCCGGCCUCAGAAGUACUGCUGACCUUUUGCCAGGAAAAGUAUUUUCUUUUUCAGUGGGAAACUUGUAUCUAUCCACAUUGUGGAAGACACAGGGAAGAAUCAGAAGAAAAUGAAACGUGUUAGUCUUGCAGCCCCGUUUGUCUCCCUUGCUAGGCUGUCAGCUAGUUCUCAUUCUUGGUAGCGCAGGUUCUGGCACGAAAUAGAUAAUACCUGGUGAAUGAAUGAAUGUUAACAUUUUGGUGUGCGUUUCUCCCUAGGCUUUUUUUUUUCCCCGCAAAUAUAUACAUAUCACAUGCAUAUUUCCACAUAAUUGAGCUGCCCCUACAUGGCCUGGGAAAAUCAGUAACUGCACUUAAAUCCUUGCUGCUGCUGUCGCUGGAGCACGCUUUAGUUGCCUAUGUGAGAAGCAGCUGAAUUGCAAAUCAAUAGCAUGUCAGGUCUGCCCUUCUGACUUUCAGGGCUCUCACUUGAAAUCACAGUUUCAUCUGUCAACUGGCACCUCCAAUUAGCACUCGGUCAGAUAAUCCAGUAGGAGUCAGAGCUCCUGGGGACUGGAAAGGCUUGGCUCUGACCGAUGGCUUUUAGCUGUCCUCCAUUUCUUCUGCCCAUCUCUGAGGUAUCUGCUUCCAACCUUAAUUUUUAGAGUUUUAGGAUGUUUAAGACAGAUGAUCUCUAACAUACCCUUGAAAUUCUGUAAGAUGCUGCUGAGCCAACUGAAUAAGAUAAUAGAAGCCAACUGAAGUGUAACUUUUGUUGUUUUGCAGUCAGAUUAUCACAGGAGCUGUUCUUGGUCGGUUACCUUUUGCAGAAGGAAUGGCACAGACUCUUUUUCUCUCCUCCCCACUCCAACCCAGUUCCAGAGGGUCUGGAUCCAGCAGGUAUUCAGUGACCACGACUACCUUGAUCGCGGCUGACCCAAGGCCAUGCCUGUAUAGUACUCAAUGACGUCGGGUCUGGGCCAGACAGAGUGAGAGGUCAGGAAAUGGUCCCUGGAUUGUCCCUCAGGCACCCCCACAUCAAUAGAGGAGUCUCUGUCAGAAACUCGGCCCAAACCUGGCUGAGGAGGCAUAUCAAGGGCACUUCUGUGUGGGAAGCACGUGGGCAUCCGUCUGGCUCAUUCCCAAGUCCACAGAUGAAAUCAGAGGCCUGGAGAAGAGUAGUCACCUGAGAACUGAAGCUCAGGCCUGGAGGGGUUAGGUUGAAAGCAUCUCGCAGGCGGUGCCCUGCACGUCGGGCCCAGAGGGCUGGGCACAUGGGAAGGGCACCUGGCCUUCACGCCGCGUGCCGCUGUGUCAGUGCUUUGCCGCCUUGGCGUCGUGCGGCCGAUGGUGAGUGAGCGCGCAUGGCCGAGGCCGGGGUGGCGGGCAGGCCUGGGGAUGCAGAGGUCCGUCCACGUGCAAGUGGCUGGAAGCCAAGACCGCAAGCAAGUGUGCGGAGACAGUCUCCGAGCCGUGGACCCAGACUAAGGCAGCACGCCAGUGCGGUGUUGGGGUCCAGUUGGGCAGCGGUUGCGAAGUUCGCGUUUCGGAACGGCGUUUGCAGCCUUUUCUUGGUGUGAAAGUGGCCGCUGCGACUGGGAAAUGCAGAUGAGGCCCGGGCCAGUGCAGUCGGCGGCGCGCUUUCCAGCGUCGAGGCCGCGUCUUGCUUUCGGCCAGAGCGUGGGGUCUUCCCAGCAGAUCCGCCUGGGUGGAUUAGGACCGCUUCUUGUUUGGGGGGCUUGACGGCCUGGAGCCAGUGCAGCAGGGGCGGUGUUGCCCUCGACUGCCUCUGGGAUACACCUUACCAUUUCUCAGUAUUUCCCUCGGGGAAAUGACCGAGUUGCCCUUCGGAGAGGUUGGGCCGGACCACGGCCUUCUGGACUCUUUCCCAACACUUCCUUUUUAGAAAUCUGUGCUACUUGAGAAGUUGGAAAAGUGGUAUCUCUUGGUUCCUUUUCUUUGUUGACAGGUGGAGUCUGUAACUUUCUAUCAACAAGACUAAUUGAGCUUUUGCUCUGAGCCAGAAAUUCAGCUGAAGCACCUUCCAUGCCCUGGGGGAGUUCACUGUCACCACGUGAAAAUACCAAGGGUUACAGUGUCUGUAACAACCUGAUUAGGGUGUCAGCCCUGAGAAUACAAAGGAUGAAAUGAUUGCCUCUGUGGGAGGAAGGUCUGUGUGAACUGGAGAAAGUCUGACCUCCCUGCCUGGGAAAAGGCAAUGCUGGAAUUUGCACUUGCUAUUUCCCGAGCUGAUGACAUAACAGAUGACCAUUUCAAAAAGCUCGAGGUGCACGGAUUCAACCAAGAAGAUGCCUGGGAUAUAGCUGCAAUUUCAGCUUUUUAUGCCAUGUCCAACUGCCUUGCUCAUUUUGUCAGUCUUGUUCCCAACAAAGAAUUCUAUUUGAUGGGCAGAACCAAUGAUGUCAAAGACAUCAGGAGUGAACCUGCUGCUCCCAAAGUAUAAAAGUCUGAACAGAAAGGCCAGUGUUUACAUUUCCAGCACAUUGCAUUAUAAGACACCAGUUGGGAAGUAAUUUUUUUAAAUGUUUAGUCAAUGGAUAGGGAAGAAAGUAAAUAAAUUUGUUCCCUGCCUGCUUGAUGAGAUAGAUCCUAAGGGACAUGUGAUAUCUGGGCCUCGGGGAAACCUUUUACUUUUUUACUUUUGUUGUGAUGUGAAAGGAGCAUCAGGGACAAAGGAGUUCAGAGGAUGCUUUAGGCAUUUCUGAUGAACUGAUAUCUGUGAAUUUCAGCAAUUGAAGUUGAACAUAUUUUAGCUUUUAAAAAUAGUGUUACAUGGAAA